UCUUAUAUGGAGAGUUUGAUCCUGGCUCAGGACGAACGCUGGCGGCGUGCCUAAUACAUGCAAGUCGAGCGGACAGAUGGGAGCUUGCUCCCUGAAGUCAGCGGCGGACGGGUGAGUAACACGUGGGCAACCUGCCUGUAAGACUGGGAUAACUCCGGGAAACCGGGGCUAAUACCGGAUAAUUCUUUCCUUCACAUGAAGGAAAGCUGAAAGAUGGUUUCGGCUAUCACUUACAGAUGGGCCCGCGGCGCAUUAGCUAGUUGGUGAGGUAACGGCUCACCAAGGCCACGAUGCGUAGCCGACCUGAGAGGGUGAUCGGCCACACUGGGACUGAGACACGGCCCAGACUCCUACGAGAGGCAGCAGUAUGGAAUCUUCCGCAAUGG
rnacentral:rRNA from 1 species